CUUGUAGUGUCUUUCUAUAGAUCCUGUGAUACUUCCGUAUCACUAGUCUUCAUGAGGAUGGGCUUCCUGAACCAGCAAUUACCGGUGGUGAAUGUGAGGCGGGGGACAGAGCCAUCUAACUUCCCUGUGAAGUUCCUCUUUGCAGAGUGUUGCAGUUUCCAAGAACCAUGGACGAUGUUGAGUCGUUCCACCUCCCCUUCCGCCUGGGACUCCGUACAGAGCCUCACAUCAUCCUACCAGUGUUGACCUGACAUUGACCCACCAGAGAGUCUACGCGUUCUCGCGUAAGGCGACAUGAGCUUCACUUCAGGGAGCACAGUUAGUGCUCUGGCUUAGAAUCUGUUAGAAUUCUGGCUUGUUAUGUUUCUAGCAUCUAGAGUCUUGCUGCAUCUUGACAGGCACUCAUGUUCAGGCUUCCUUCAUUUCUUACAAAACAGGGACUUGAUACAAACUUGGGUUUGGGACAUGUUCUUACUAAUGGACCAAAGGAUAACAUCAGUAGCACCAGGUACCUCUUCUACACCAUAUGCAUCAUAUACAUCAUCUCAGUUAAUCUUCAAUAACCUUGUAAGGAUGAGACUUGAACCUUCAUUUGACAGAGGAGGAACCUAACGCUCAGAGAGGGAGACCUCCACGGACAAAGGCUUAGGAGAGUUCCUGAUGUCUUUUCUUCUCCACUGCUGGGUGGUGAUGUUAUCCAUUCAAGAAGAUAAAAAUCAUAGAAUAUAAAGACUGAAUCAAUCUUGGAGAUACUUUAUUCUGGCUUUCUUCUUUCUAUAGAUAAGCCAGCUUAGGUCUCUGAAAGGUUAUCCAAAAUCAGGCACACAUGAUUGAGAGCAAAACAGGAACCACAACGCAAGACUUCUGGCUCUUCUACGACAGCAACUGAAAGCAACAGUGAACAUUACUUCAUUUAUGGUGUAAUAAAACCAACUUCAAAGUCCAUUUAGGCCCAGCUGACUCUUUUGGUCUCAUGCUUGACACUUCUGUUACCUAUUUGAGGCUUACUGUUCAAAAUAUUCACAGACUGUACUUAAGGUACCAUGUGUUUCUUCUGGUAAAUCAAAAGUAGUUUUUAUGUUAUAUUUAGGGGCAGAUUUAAUCUACUAGCAUAAAACAUUAUGAUAAACUCUCCCCACCCCCUAACAAAGGCAUUCCAUUCCACAUGUGAGCAACUGCUUGCAGACAGCAUGCACCAUGUGAAAAAGUAAUUAUUGCCUUGCCUAAGGAAUGAAGCUGACUCUAUCAGCAUGUCCAGGCUUUUGCAGAUACGUGAACAAAGCCAUGGCUUACUCAGAACACUGCAAUUUUUUUUUUAACUUCUUGAAAAUUCAUUCUUUUCUAAUGGUUAGUUAUGGGGGAAAGUGAGUUAAGUACCGCUUGACAGUUUGCUCCAUAGAAGCUCUGUAAUAUCACCUCUCCUAGUCUUCUUUGAUAUAGAACCAGCUAUCUGUAUCGCUGACUUCUUUCCCUCUUUAAUACUUGCAAAUUGAACAGCAUAAUUCUUCCCAUGUCCAAGACUAGUCAACUAAAAUACCAUGUUCAGAAUUUGGCUGGCUGUAUGUUAUAACUUGUCUGUCAUCACUUUCUUUCAUUACAGUCCUGUGGUUGGUUUUUGUAGACUUUAAGGACCUGUUCGGUAGUGAUUCACUUCAUUUGGGGAUAUGCUACAUGUUAUUCUGUGCUUGUGUUAGACCAAAAUGUCACAUUCCACAGGUGUACCCAGAUGAUCACUAAGCAUUGGAAAAGAGUCAGUUUUGGAGUUGGCGAAGCCUCCUUCUGUAAGACUUGUCUUUUAACAAUGGAUAAGUUUGAUCAAAUCUUUCAGCUUUGGUCUAUUGUGUCCUUAUUUCAUAGAAAUGGCCCACUUUUGAGUCUUAGAGUUCACUCUUUUUACUUAUAAAUAUAUCUGAAAUGAACACUUACUAAGACACAAAUUCCAGUGAAAGAAGGGUCUUUCCUUUUGAUUAUCCUCUUUUAGAACUCUCCAGAAAAGGAAUGGACAAUCUUUUUAAGAGAGGCCUCUUUGUUAGUGGAAGUAUUUAUCAAGA